GCUCCAAUAGCGUAUACUAAAGUUGUUGCAGUUAAAAAGCUCGUAGUUGAAUUUCUGACUUUGAGGCGCGACCGACCCCGUGUGGGCCUGUGUCUGCGAAUCGAGGUCAUCCUCGAGGAAUGCGUAUCUGUCAUUCAGUUGAUGGGUACGAGUACCUCGUCAUUUACUGUGAGCAAAAUAGAGUGUUCAAAGCAGCUUAC
rnacentral:rRNA from 1 species